CCUCCCAUGCCACGCAUUUCUA
rnacentral:miRNA from 1 species